CUCUGUGAUGUCACAAAUAGUUCUCGCGGGGUUCAGGCCUGUUAAAGGAGUAGACGAGUACUUUCAUGGUGCAGCAUUAACCAGCGGAGACAAGCUCUACGCUGCUUUGCAUGUUACCUCUGUGAAAGAAGUGGACGGCGUGGACGUACACACGAAGUGUCGUUCACAGCAGGGAAAGCAACUAUACGAAAUCUUCCUUCACAUGCCUGGACUGUGUACUGCAACUGCAUUUGCUACACGCAUCACGCUGAGAUCACGGGCAGUUCUUGUGCAGCGCAGCGGUCAAGCUAAAUUCAUUGAGGCCAACACCCUGAAGCACCGCUGCUGGCAGACAGCCCAAGCACCUUGGGGAAAGGCAGCAUCGUGGCUGAGCAUGGCUUUGACUUCCUGUUAGCCACACUGCUCUGCAUGGACAAGUUUGGAACUGGUUUUCUGGUGGAGCCAUGGAGUUCUUCAGAACUGUGUGCGAGAAAAUAGGCCAUGUUCAAACAAAGGCAUUCAUGUGUAUGAUGCACCUGUAUUCUAUAAUGAAUGGAGAGCCAUCAUGAGGAAUGCUGGGCAGCAACUGCUAUGCGCUUAGCAUGUCAACAAAAACUGGAGAGAGAACAUCCAGAAACACAUUUAGUACCAGCAACUCCAAGCACUCAUGUACAAGGUAGUGAGGACCAUGAUGGAUGCUCCUACAGAAGAAAAAUUCAAGAGCAUCAUGGAGGCAUUCUCAAAAUUCUGAUACAAACAUGACAGCAAGACCAACGGCCUUAUCAAAUUCAAAACGUACUUCAUCCAAAAUUAUUUCCAUCAUGCAGAAGUGUGGUCAGAAGGUCACAGGAAAGAGUGUGGAAUUAAUACAACGAUGCAGUUAGAAGCACUGCACAGAGACUGCAACGAGAAGAAGCAAUCAAGGACAACUGUUCGGCUGUGGCAACUUCACUCCGGACUGUACAGGCGAAGGAUGAUGCAACAGCUUCAGCACGCUGCACACUACUGCUCGAUGCCAUUCGAGGUCACCUGCAACAGCCCGCAGUGCCAGAAACUUUUUUAUGCUAGUUUUGCCUAUGCUGGAGGAAGCCUUUGCAAGAUUAACUGCACCAAUCAGCAAUUCACAGCCAGCACUAUACGUGCAAAAAAAUUUGCGCCGCAGUGCCGCUUUCUCUCUUUUUUUUAAUAUAAAGCGCAAGUGCACUGCAGAAGGCAAGGUGAGGAUGGCAAAGCCAAUGCCAGGACAGCAGAUUGCAGUAUACAAUCUGCUCAAGAGUGAUGAGGCUGUGUCUGACCAGACAGUCAAAGACACUUGCAGUCAAUCUGACCACAGCUAUUGUGAACAAACGACCUAAUUUAUGAGCAGUGGAUGGCAAAGCCAACAGCAGGACAGCAGGUUACAGUAUGCCAUCUCCUCAAAAGUGAUGAGGCUGUGUCAGACCAGACAGUCAAAGACACUUGCAGUCAAUCUGACCACAGCUAUUGUAAACAAACAACCUAAAUCAUGAGCAGUGGAUGGCAAAGCCAACAUUAAGACAGCAGAUUGCAGUAUGCAAUCUCCUCAAGAGUGAUGAGCCUGUGUCAGACCAUACAGUCAAAGACGCAGUCAACCCGACCAAAGCUACUUUAAACAAACAACCUAAAUUAUGAGCAGUGGCCAGGAAUGCAGCCAUGCUGCCCAUAAAGCAAGGAGUGAUGCAUCUGGGAACAUUAACGUACCCCUUGCUAAUAAUAUUUACGACAAAAGACAGCUGUAGUUUGUUGGUGCUAAAAUUUGGAGUACACGACCACCAGAACUUGACUCAAAACUUCACUUCGAAGGUUAAUUCACAAUUAUGUAUUGUAUAAUCUCUGUCUUGCCUGCAUGUAAAUACCUUGAAACUGUACUACUUGGUUAGGGGUCUAAACAGCGAUGUGUGAGUCUGUAAAUAUUCUGAAGAUGAAUAAAAUUUGAAACUUGAGCUGAAUGAAACUUUAAUAAAAUUUGAAAGCGAAGAAGAGUGAGGGUGGGCUUCUACUGAAUAAGACCUUGCCCCAAAAAAUUUCUGCCUCGAUGGUGCUUCCUGGCAAGGAAAGAACACAUUGGCGUACUCCAUGCAAGCAAAGGCAAACUUACAAUUAUUAUUAACGUUUUCAGUUACACCGCCAUCAAUGAACAGUGUAUCCUAUCGAUAAAAGGUGGGAAAAGAAAGCAUGUCUCAGCCGCUCCACUACGGCUGUUUGUCUACACGCUGCUUUCACACGGGAAGAACCACAAACUGAAAGUUACUAUCACCUACAAGCACGUGCCUACACAAUCGCUUCAAAUGUGUACUACAUCAACACAACUGCAUAGAGUUUAGACUCCUUGUAACCCCUCAUGAUGACCUUCAUAAAUAAAAAUAAACAAUAUGGCAACCACCGUGAAGCACGGGCAAACAAGAAUGUCCGAGUCUAAGAAAUAGGUGUUUAAAAGAAAGUAAAGAACAAGCAACUUUAUCACAUGACAUCCAGUAAAAGAGAGUUGUCCUCCUUUCUUACUUUCUCUCCACUCAUGCAUGCUUAGUGACCAUGUUUUGAAUCCUCGCCUGAACUUUAUACUGAAUCAGACGGUGUUUAGCUGAGUAUAUAUUUCUCACUUGGUACAAUUUAUGGGUGCUAAAUGCACUGGCAGCUCUGCUAGGACAAGUGUAGAGAUAAUUGAGGUUUAACUUUUUAAUGCGAAGGAUCUGUGCCUUAUACCAGGCACUUUGCGGUAGGUAUCGUACCUGUCUCGCCUCAUUUCAGGCCUCUCCAAUAAAAAAAAAAUGUGUAAUAGUGCGAUUCAUCCAGUGUCCUCUCGUGCAAUACAAAGAGCAGUGCUCUACCUAUUAGCUACAGACUGUACUUCACAUGAGUCAUCUCACACAAGUUUAUAAAAGCAAGAGUGUGCCAGUUUCCGUCAUAUUGUUGCGCCUUUGGGACUGGCCUAAGCCGUAACAAAAGAGAUUAUAAUAGGUAUUCGCUGGAAAACAAUAAAUUUGUUAACAUGCCACUGCCAUCAUCAUUAUACUAUUGUCAAUGCCUUGCUGCAGCUAUCACACACACUGCCAUCUGAAGGACAAUUGCUCACCUUGCAGAAACAUGUUUUUCCAUCUAGUAAUAUCCCGCAGAGCACCAGCAAUGCUGGACAGCCAGAUACCUUCAAAAUGCUUUGCAUAACAUCAGUUCGCACAGUGUGUGGGACCUGAAGAGGCAGAGAUAAAAUUUACCACACUCCCACAUACGAGUACAUCAUGAACGUCAUUGGGACUCUGCUGCAAUGCAGAUUAAUAUAAGAACAUACCGAUUAUAAACAAAAGAGCAAAUUAAAUUCUACUUGGCAAAGCCAUGCGCAUGGAGCCAGCUGUAAUCGCAUAGAAAGAUAGACAGAAACAAAGAAGGAAAUUCAGGGAACUUGACCAUGCUGUGCUGGUUGGCUACCCUGCUCUUGGAGACAGAAAAGGGGGGAAAGAUAAGAUAGCAAUUAUAAGUGCAAUGUAGGUUUCACUGAAGCAGUGUAAGUACAGUUAACAUAUAUUGAUUUGAAAGUCUGCAUAAUGAGCUCACUAUCCAAUGCUUGGAUUAAGUGAUGAGUCUAAUGUGCUGGAAAGUAAACAUUUAUUUGCAUGAAAUACAAUAUUUUGGUAGUCUGCAGAAGCAGGCACUGUACAGGGAAAACAUACACUGCAAAUUGUGAUAGGCAUUGUCUUCAUGAAAGAA